rnacentral:rRNA from 1 species
GACGAACGCUGGCGGCGUGCUUAACACAUGCAAGUCGAGCGACGAAGCUUCUUCGGAAGUGGAUUAGCGGCGGACGGGUGAGUAACACGUGGGUAACCUGCCUCAUAGAGGGGAAUAGCCUUCCGAAAGGAAGAUUAAUACCGCAUAAGAUUGUAAUAUCGCAUGAUAUAGCAAUUAAAGGAGCAAUCCGCUAUGAGAUGGACCCGCGUCGCAUUAGCUAGUUGGUGAGGUAACGGCUCACCAAGGCGACGAUGCGUAGCCGACCUGAGAGGGUGAUCGGCCACAUUGGGACUGAGACACGGCCCAGACUCCUACGGGAGGCAGCAGUGGGGAAUAUUGCACAAUGGGGGAAACCCUGAUGCAGCAACGCCGCGUGAGUGAUGACGGUCUUCGGAUUGUAAAGCUCUGUCUUUAGGGACGAUAAUGACGGUACCUAAGGAGGAAGCCACGGCUAACUACGUGCCAGCCGCCGCCGUAACAC